AUGCUUUGGACUAAUCACGUGCUUGCGCGUUUGGUAUAGUAAUUUGAUACUAUUUACACUCAGACGCUGUAGCUUUUUUCAAAAGUGGGAAGAUUAUUAUUCAAAUUUUCUUGUAUAUUAACUCAACAAGACUAAACAAUUGUACUUGGACUUUGCUUCGAAGGUAUGUUUGUUGUGUAUUUACUAUUCAGCAAUUAAUAUCUAUUAUCUAUACGAAUACUUGCUCGACAUGCAGUUCUGUGUCUGUGAAGGUUUGAUCUGAGUUAUUUAUAUCUAAAUCUUGAAUUCAUUUUUGCAGUAGAUACUGAGCGAAUAGUUUGUGAGUUGUUCGCGACCAACACAUUUAAUAAAAUGCGAAAGUAGCAAGUUUUAUAUUUGUUAAUAGGCAAAUGAUGGACACCAAGACGAGCAUCGAUCUUCAAUAUGACAAUUUGUAUUAAUUUUAAUAAUUUAGAAUUCGAUAGUUGUAUGCAUCUGGGACGAUUUUAAGAGAAACAUACUUCUACUCAUUUUAGCCAGGUAGUGAUCCAAGACUACCUCUCUUACUGAUUACUAUUUCUUAGGUUAAGAGUUCAGGAUUCCUAUGAGGGGAGAGUUGAUGAGGGUGAAGCCACUCAAGCCAGAAGGUAAACAAUUAGAAUACAGCACUUGCAUUAGAACUGGACUACAUUUCUACUAAUUACUAUUUGAAAUUUCACAGUGUAUAUGUGUAUAAUUUUCAGUCACCAUAUGGGCAAUGUUAUUUUUGUGUGAUAAUGACCAAUCACAAAUCGGCAAACUUGAAUUUGUUCCAGAACCAAUGAAGUUUGAAUUAUAAACUACAGUACAUCAUGCUAAAAAAGAUAUGAAACAUUUUACUUUGUCCGUUGUUCAAGAAAAGCUGAUAAAUGUCCGACUAUAUUUUAUCUUGGCUGGACAUUUGUCCUUCCAAGCAAAAUAAUUAUUUGCAGGUCUGGUUAACUAGACACAUGGGCAGAUAGGCCAGUUAACCCAUUAACCAGCGCUCUCCACUUGAUGAGUAAAAUUGUUAGGGGUGCACCGGAACUCGGUUCCGGCCGGUUAGUUCCGGCCGGGACCCGGUUUUUUAGAGUUCCGGGUCGGGCCGGAACUAGUAAAAAAAGCAUGGCCGGAACCGGAACUCUGUCGUUUUCAGGGAGAUAGAAUAUCAAACGUUUUUGUGUCUAACAAAAGGUCACAGUAGGAAGAAAGUUGGACUACGCAAGGGAAAUGUACACUAUUAACACUUCAUUAUGACGUUUAACGUUUGUCAGUCUUUUAUUCUGACAUUUGCGAACUCUCUACUUGAUGAUUUGAAGUGUCUGCUUGUCUGGCAGCGGACAAAGUAACAUAUGACUAUAUAUGGCUUAAUAAAUUAGUUCCGGUUCCGGCCGGAACUUUUUUCCAGUUCUGGUCGGAUCCGGUUCCGGCCGGAACUUAAAAAACCGGUUCCGGUGCAUCCCUAAAAAUUGUUUGGCGUUAGACAGAGUAAAAUAAUUUGGCAAGCGUUAGACAGUAAAAUAAUAAAGUAGGCUGCAUCAGGGUGCAAUGCAACUUAAUGGGUUAAAGUGUGUAAUGAUGAUUAUGUUAGAUUAUUGAAUAUCAGAUGUAUAUCUGGGUAGUAAAAAUUACUAUGUGGUGCACCAUUUUUGUCCAAACAAUGUAACAGAAUACCAGAAUUGAUUAGUUCAUGUGUACUGAUUCGACCACAUGCUCACUUCGUAUAUAGUAUCAGGCCUAAAAAAUACCUGUGGUUCCGGUUCAUGACCGACGCUAUUUUUUUCUGCCGACCCUAUUAUUUUUUCAACGCGAUUGACUGUGCGACCCUAUUUUCUCUGGGUGGUUGCGGGCUGCUCAUACAGUGUGCCAAAAUGGCAUCUGUUUUUACUUUUCACACUAAUUAUUGAACCAAAUUGCCUAAAUUUGUCCAUAGGAAAUACACAUCUCUAGUUAAUAUUGAUGUCGGAACUCACUGCAAAUCGCCCAGCAAAAACCCACCAAACCCAUGAAAAUUGUGUUUCCGACCUACCGACCCUAAUUUUUUUACGAUAUGAAACUGGAACCACAGGUAUUUUUUUAAGCCUUACUAGCAAUUACUUUCUGGAUAAUCAAUAAUUUUCUGCUGCUGUAAUAUCAACCUUAUAUUUUUUAUUAGGGGUUGUUUUCAUGAAUUCAUGUUCCCACCACCACUAAAAUCACCACCUCACAGAAUGGCAAUAUAAUCACGAUAGACCAGUAAAUCUACUUCAUCGCCUAUAUGGGGAACAUUAUUUUCUGGCGAGAACAUGGCCGUUGAAUACCAAAGUAAGGAAGGAAAAGAGUUACAGAGUUGUGGUAUGCAACUUGAAUGUUUAGUACUAAAGUUGACAUUUAUGACAUUAUGUGAUUUAUGUAUCAGACAAAUGUCCUGUCAAGUCAAAUAUUUAUUUGCAGCCCCGCUGUAUAUAUGUGAGUAAAUAGGUUGGCUGGGGUGCCUUGGUGUUGGUAACAGACAAACAGUGAGGGAGUCUACCCCAUUUUCAUCUUCCCAGACCUGAGAGAUAGAUUGUUGAAGAGGAUGCCAUUCCUACCUAGAACAUACCACACCGAAGUACUACUCAUACACAGACAGGACAGUUGCUGUGUUGGUGUCACCCAGGAUUCGAAACUGCAACCUUGUGUUUACAAGCCCAACGCUCCACAACUGAGCUAACUGGGUGAAUCAGACACAAGGCAGCAGGUUUGAUGUAUUUAUAUACUGUACUAUAUGCAGUUAUAUAUUAUACUUAUAAUCAUUCUCAAUAGAACAGAAUGUAAAAGGGUUUUUGUAGAUGG
rnacentral:lncRNA from 1 species